GAUAAACGCUGGCGGCGUGCAUGAGACAUGCAAGUCGAACGAAGGAUCGGGCUUGCUCGGUCCUUAGUGGCGGACGGCUGAGUAACGCGUAGGUGACCUGCCCCGAAGUGGGGAAUAACUGCCCGAAAGGGUGGCUAAUACCGCAUGUGGUCGCACCUUCAUUGGUGCGAGUAAAGCCGCAAGGUGCUUCGGGAGGGGCCUGCGUCCGAUUAGCUCGUUGGUGGGGUAAUGGCCUACCAAGGCGGCGAUCGGUAGGUGGUCUGAGAGGACGAUCACCCAGACUGGGACUGAGACACGGUCCAGACUCCUACGGGAGGCAGCAGUGGGGAAUUUUGGACAAUGGACGCAAGUCUGAUCCAGCCAUGCCGCGUGCGGGAAGAAGGCCUUCGGGUUGUAAACCGCUUUUGUCAGAGAAGAAAUCUUCUGGGUUAAUACCUCGGGAGGAUGACGGUAUCUGAAGAAUAAGCACCGGCUAAC
rnacentral:rRNA from 1 species